UGGGGAAUUUUGCACAAUGGGGGAAACCCUGAUGCAACGACGCCGCGUGAUUUAGAAGGCCUUCGGGUUGUAAAAAUCUUUUUUACGGGAUGAAAAUGACAGUACCGUAAGAAUAAGGUCCGGCUAAAUACGUGCCAGCAGCCGCGGUAAUACGUAUGGACCGAGCGUUGUCCGGAAUCAUUGGGCGUAAAGGGUACGUAGGCGGCCUAGUAAGUUAGAAGUGAAAUAAUAUAGCUCAACUAUAUAAAGCUUUUAAAACUGCUAGGCUUGAGAGAUGGAAGGGAAAGUGGAAUUCCUAGUGUAGCGGUGAAAUGCGCAGAUAUUAGGAAGAAUACCGGUGGCGAAGGCGACUUUCUGGUCAUCAUCUGACGCCGAGGUACGAAAGCGUGGGUAGCAAACAGG
rnacentral:rRNA from 1 species